AUGUCCAGACUCUCAAACAAUCUGACCAUUCAGGUUCUUCUAUGUUUGGAAAUGGUCACUUUUAAUGGCUUACACAUCAAUUAUGGAGGGAACAGUGAUAGAGUUAUUCCUGUCUUUGAUUUUAACUUAUUACAUUGUGCAGAAACCUGUAAACAUCCAAUGUGUCACAAAAUUUAUGUAAUAAAAUUUAAGUCUGGCAGUUAUUUUUAAGGUGAUUUUUGCAAGGUUAAAUUACUAUUUCUUUAAGUUAUGUAUUCAAUCUUUUAAUCUAAUCUUAGGUUAUUUUUAAGUGACUAGACUUUUUAAUAGCUUUAAACUAAUAUGAAUUACAAAUUCUGAAUCAACGCACAAGUUAAGCAGUGUCACUUUAAACCUACAACUGAAAAUUUUUUUCUCUAAUAUACUAUUUUUUAGAGGAGUUUUAAGUUCAUAAAAAAACUGAGAGAAAGGUAUAGAGAUUUCCCAUAUACUUCCACCCCACACACUGAUAGUUUCCCUCAUUAUCAACAUCCCCCACCAAAGUAGUACAAUUCUUACAGUUGAUGAAGAUACAUUGGCAUAUUCUUAUCACCCAGAAUCCACAGUUUACACUAUGGUUUGCUCUUGGUGUUGUGCAUUCUAUGGGCUUGGACAUAUAUAUCAUGACAUGUAGCCACCAUUACAGUAUCAUACAGAGUAUUUUAAAAAUCCUUUGUGCUCUCCCUAUCCAUCCUAUCUUCUUAAUGUCUGGCAACCACUAAUCUUUUCACUGUCUCCAUGGUUUUACCUUUUCUAGAAUAUCACAUAGUUGGAAUCACAUAGUAUGAAGUCUUUUCAGAUUGCCUUCUUUCAUGUAGUAAUAUGCAUUUGAGUCUCAUCCAUGUCUUUUCAAGGAUUGAUAACUCAUUUCUUUUUAGUGCUGAAAAAUAUUCUAUUCUCUGGAUGUAGCAGUUUAUUAUCCAUUCACUGCUGAAGGACAUCUUGGUUUCUUCCAAGUUUUGGCAAUCAUUAAUAAAGUUGCCACAAAUAUUUGUUUGUAGGCUUUA
rnacentral:lncRNA from 12 species